GAUGAACGCUGGCGGCGUGCCUAAUACAUGCAAGUCGAGCGAACGGACGAUAAGCUUUCUUCUUUGAUGUUAGCGGCGGACGGGUGAGUAACACGUGGAUAACCUACCUAUAAGACUGGGAUAACUUCGGGAAACCGUAGCUAGUACCGGAUAAUAUUUUGAACCGCAUGGUUCAAAAGUGAAAGACGGUCUUGCUGUCACUUAUAGAUGGAUCCGCGCUGCAUUAGCUAGUUGGUAAGGUAACGGCUUACCAAGGCAACGAUGCAUAGCCGACCUGAGAGGGUGAUCGGCCACACUGGAACUGAGACACGGUCCAGACUCCUACGGGAGGCAGCAGUAGGGAAUCUUCGGCAAUGGGCGAAAGCCUGACGGAGCAACGCCGCGUGAGUGAUGAAGGUCUUCGGAUCGUAAAACUCUGUUAUUAGGGAAGAACAUAUGUGUAAGUAACUGUGCACAUCUUGACGGUACCUAAAGAGAAAGCCACGGCUAACUACGUG
rnacentral:rRNA from 1 species